UGGGGAAUCUUGCGCAAUGGGGGAAACCCUGACGCAGCGACGCCGCGUGCGGGAUGAAGGCCUUCGGGUUGUAAACCGCUUUCAGCAGGGACGAGGCCUUAUGGUGACGGUACCUAACCAGAAAGCCACGGCUAACUACGUGCCAGCAGCCGCGGUAAUACGUAGGUGGCAAGCGUUGUCCGGAAUUAUUGGGCGUAAAGCGCGCGCAGGUGGUUUAGAAAGUCUGAUGUGAAAGCCCACGGCUCAACCGUGGAGGGUCAUUGGAAACUAAUAAACUUGAGUGCAGGAGAGAAAAGUGGAAUUCCUAGUGUAGCGGUGAAAUGCGUAGAGAUUAGGAGGAACACCGGUGGCGAAAGCGGCUUUUUGGCCUGCAACUGACACUGAGGCGCGAAAGCGUGGGGAGCAAACAGG
rnacentral:rRNA from 1 species